UACGUAGGGUGCAAGCGUAAUCGGAAUUACUGGGCGUAAAGCGUGCGCAGGCGGUUAUGUAAGACAGGUGUGAAAUCCCCGGGCUAACCUGGGAACUGCAUUUGUGACUGCAUAGCUAGAGUACGGUAGAGGGGGAUGGAAUUCCGCGUGUAGCAGUGAAAUGCGUAGAUAUGCGGAGGAACACCGAUGGCCGAAGGCAAUCCCCUGGACCUGUACUGACGCUCAUGCACGAAAGGCCGUGGGGAGCAAACAGGAUU
rnacentral:rRNA from 1 species